GAUGAACGCUGGCGGCGUGCCUAAUACAUGCAAGUCGAGCGAACAGACGAGGAGCUUGCUCGUCUGACGUUAGCGGCGGACGGGUGAGUAACACGUGGAUAACCUACCUAUAAGACUGGGAUAACUUCGGGAAACCGGAGCUAAUACCGGAUAAUAUAUUGAACCGCAUGGUUCAAUAGUGAAAGACGGUUUUGCUGUCACUUAUAGAUGGAUCCGCGCCGCAUUAGCUAGUUGGUAAGGUAACGGCUUACCAAGGCAACGAUGCGUAGCCGACCUGAGAGGGUGAUCGGCCACACUGGAACUGAGACACGGUCCAGACUCCUACGGGAGGCAGCAGUAGGGAAUCUUCCGCAAUGGGCGAAAGCCUGACGGAGCAACGCCGCGUGAGUGAUGAAGGUCUUCGGAUCGUAAAACUCUGUUAUUAGGGAAGAACAAAUGUGUAAGUAACUAUGCACGUCUUGACGGUACCUAAUCAGAAAGCCACGGCUAACUACGUG
rnacentral:rRNA from 1 species